rnacentral:rRNA from 1 species
UUCGAUUGUGCCAGCAGCCGCGGUAAGACGGAGGAUGCAAGCGUUAUCCGGAAUUAUUGGGCGUAAAGCGUCCGCAGGUGGCCAUUCAAGUCUGCUGUCAAAGAGCGAGGCUCAACCUUGUACAGGCAGUGGAAACUGAAUAGCUAGAGUGCGGUAGGGGUAGAGGGAAUUCCCGGUGUAGCGGUGAAAUGCGUAGAUAUCGGGAAGAACACCAGUGGCGAAAGCGCUCUACUGGGCCUGCACUGACACUGAGGGACGAAAGCUAGGGGAGCGAAAGGGAUUAGAUACCCCUGUAGUCCUAGCCGUAAACGAUGGAUACUAGGCGUUGCCCGUAUCGACCCGGGCAGUGUCGUAGCCAACGCGUUAAGUAUCCCGCCUGGGGAGUACGCUCGC